rnacentral:lncRNA from 1 species
GUCUGCCGCUUGCUCCGUGGUCGUUAAACUACCCUGCCCCGGGAGCAGACCCCGUUUUAGGGGUAGGGCUCCGGACAGGGAUCGGAUCGACACCUCCCCGCACCCAGGAGCCGAUCCGGGAUCGAAGCCGCGGACUUCGGAGUUUUUCCCCGCUUUCCCGCUAGUAAGGGGUGAGUAACUCCAGCUUCCCAACUUCGAGAGUUGCCCCCCGCCUUAUCUCCCGGUUUCAUCCGGUCGAGUCGAGGUUUCGCCCUGGGCUCGGUGAGGUUGGGGCUAGCGGUUGGGGUUUUUUGUUAGCGUUUUUUUUUCGUUUCACUCCGAAGGUUCGUUUUUGCGGGGCAGAGAUGGGUUGCAAACUCUCUGUCCCCCAGAAAAGAGUUUAUUACCAAGUUGUGGGUACCCUUGAAGGUAGAAAUGUUAAAAUUGUUAAGCGGGAGUUAAAAGAUUUAAUCAUAUGGUUGUUCAUUCAAUUUCCAGAGAUCUCCCCAGAUUUAGUUAAUGAAAUAAAAUUCUGGAAUUCAGUUGGAGACAAAUUAGCACAAUUCGAAUCUAAAGGGAGAUCAAAAAACAAAAAUUUAGUUUAUUGGACCUUCCAAAUCAUUACAGCUCUUAGAGAAAAACAGAAAUUGAAGGAACAACCACCCCCCCAUUCGUGUUCUCCCUACCCCCGUGUUCCAGACCCUUGUCCCACCCCUUCUCUCCCUGAGAAUAGCAGAACCCUUAGGAGAGCAGCCCGCGAGAGCACCGCGCCGGCUUCCUACCACCCGCCGGGCUCUCCUCAGGGUUCCCUGACCCCCCGCCUCCAAAGUCCUGGCCAGACUUCGGAGAGCUCUCUCCAAUCCCCCGAUUCCUUUUCCCCCGAGUCCCCAGUUGUGCAUCCCAAAGUUAGAUUUGCAGUUUCAGAGGGCAGCAGCCCCCAGACCUCUUCACAAAAUGGCUCCCAUGGAGCCCAAAAUGGCGGCGACCGCAUGGCUUUUCCCGCCAUCAGUUUUUCUUCUCCCCAUAAUCCUUUCCUUUCUCCCGCCAACCCUUUCUCCUCCCCUUCCCAUUCCUAUAACCCCGCCCCUAAUUAUGUUAAUUCUUCUCCCAAUCCCCCGCCUUCCUACACGCCCCUUUCCCCUCCUCCUUCCCAAG